rnacentral:rRNA from 1 species
GUGGGGAAUCUUAGACAAUGGGCGCAAGCCUGAUCUAGCCAUGCCGCGUGAGCGAUGAAGGCCUUAGGGUUGUAAAGCUCUUUCGCUGGGGAAGAUAAUGACUGUACCCAGUAAAGAAGCCCCGGCUAACUCCGUGCCAGCAGCCGCGGUAAUACGGAGGGGGCUAGCGUUGUUCGGAAUUACUGGGCGUAAAGCGCGCGUAGGCGGACUGAAAAGUUGGGGGUGAAAUCCCGGGGCUCAACCUCGGAACUGCCUUCAAAACUAUCAGUCUGGAGUUCGAGAGAGGUGAGUGGAAUUCCGAGUGUAGAGGUGAAAUUCGUAGAUAUUCGGAGGAACACCAGUGGCGAAGGCGGCUCACUGGCUCGAUACUGACGCUGAGGUGCGAAAGCGUGGGGAGCAAACAGGAUUAGAAACCCGAGUAGUCC